AGAGCUCGCCUCUGAGAACCGCUAGGACAGAAACCUGAAUAGGACUGGAGCGAGAAGCCAGUUCUCUCCCUCUCGCGAUACCUCAUUUGAUGACGUGUGCGUUCCAAGUCUUCUUCGGCUCUCAUUGGCUGUCGAGCUCCGUGAGGGAGCUGGGAAACUAGCAGCGCGGGCCCCGCCCCCGUAUAGGAGCCAAUCCUGAGCAGCCGAGGGGACGAACCCCGGAAGCGAGGUUUGCGGCGGCGAAUUCCCCUCUAUAAAGAUCUUGAUGAAUAAAAUAAAGCAGACAUAAUUCAUCUCUAAAAAGAUUAUUUAUACGCUGGUAUUUGAAAUGCUUUGUGUGUAGAAUAGUAGUAAAAAUGGAAAAAGAGAAAGUAAAUGAUGAUGGACAACCAGACCCAGAGAAUUCCUUGGACUUUUCUGAACACUUUAACCAACUUGAGUUGUUGGAAACACAUGGACACCUUAUCCCCACUGGUACCCAAAGUCUCUGGGUAGGGAAUUCUGAUGAAGAUGAGGAACAAGAUGAAAAGACUGAAGAGUGGUAUCAAUUCCAAGAAAAAAAAAUGGAAAAAGAUCCAAACAAAUUGCUUCUUUGGGCUGCUGAAAAAAAUCGGCUGUCUACAGUGCGGAGACUACUUUCUGAAAAGGCCACUCAUGUGAACACGAGAGAUGAAGAUGAGUACACCCCUCUUCAUCGAGCAGCCUACAGUGGACACUUAGAGGUUGUCCGUGAGCUAAUUGCACAAGGAGCAGAUGUUCAUGCGGUGACUGUGGAUGGCUGGACACCCCUGCACAGCGCUUGUAAGUGGAAUAAUACCAGAGUAGCUUCUUUCCUACUUCAGCACGAUGCAGAUAUCAAUGCCCAAACAAAAGGCCUCUUGACCCCCUUACACCUUGCUGCUGGGAACAGAGACAACAAAGAUAUCCUAGAACUCCUCCUGAUGAACCGCUACAUCAAACCAGGUCUGAGAAACAACUUGGAAGAAACUGCAUUUGAUAUUGCCAGGAGGACAAGUACCUAUCACUACCUCUUUGAAAUUGUGGAAGGUUGCACAAAUUCUUCACCUCAGUCUUAACGGUUCUAGUCAUUUAAGUACCAGUGCCUCCUUUCUGUGAGAUGUCAAAAACCCCCAUAAGACAAAGUUGACAUCAAAAGUCUUACUACAAAAAUUCAGUGGUACUCGUUAUGUCCUUCCAAGUGAAUUGCCUGACCUUGAUGUCAAAAGGUUCAGCAUUUCACCUCUACUAGAUGUAAGUGCUUGAAAAUUAGGAAAACAUCACUGGAUUAAUGUGAGUUCUUAAGAGCACUGUGUCCUGAACAGUCAUUAGAGUUCCCUUUUCAGACAUAGCUGCCUUAAACAGAAGCAAUUUUUAGCAAUCAAAAAAAUUAGAAAGUGAGCCUGCCAUUACUUUAAAAUCAGAUGCCUCUCAGGAUUUUUCACACUCCAAUUUAAUAACUCACAUAGAAAGCAUAUCCCAGUUGAAGGGGUCGACUCUAGGCCAGGAUGUAGCUGUGCUGUGAGAAUCAUACUAAGAACUGAUGAAAGAAACAGAUCCUUCAGAGCACAUUCCAGAAAAAAAAAAAAAAAAAAAGCACUACAGCUCAUAUUUGCUUUCAUGUGCUCUUGCAUAUUUCUUAUUUGAAGAUAGGCAAAGCUUAUGAGAAGAAUCAAAAGGAAGAAACAUUAGGGUCCUUCUAUUCCUUUUAUUUUAGUCUGCACAUUUAGAAAAUGAGGAGGUUUUGGAAUUCAUUGAGAAAGGUAAUCGUAUGUCAGGAUUUCUCACACUGUUGACAUUGGAGCCAAAUAGUUCUUUGUUGUGGGGGCAUCCUGGGCAUUGCAGAAUAUUUAGCAGCCUUCUUGGCCUCUACUCUCUAGACGCCAGUAGCAUCUCCCACUCCUCCCCACUUAAGACAACCAAACAUGUCUCCAGACAUUGCCAAAUGUUCCCUGCUCUGUCAUCAAAAAUCUCUAAGGCAGGAAAUUUCAUUAUUUGGCUAGCCUCAAAGUUGUUUUAUUAGCAUGCAAUUAAAUUUUAUUUAAAGCAUGUUUUCCUUAGAGUCCAAAUAUCCAUCAGUGUACACUCAAACACUAAUCAUUGAUUCUAUAUUAAGUUUUUACUAUUUUAUUAAUGAGAUCAUUUAAACAUUUCAAAAUUGGCUAAAACAUACAAUUAGAAAAAGAAAACGCUUCAAUAUUGAGUGUCGUUUGUAAGAAAAACUCACUCCCUGCUCCUAGAUUUGGCCUCUAGGAAAUUUACCCCUUAGGUCGGAUAAGUUUAUUUUUAGAGAAAUUCUAACUUGCGGGUAUUAAUGGAGAUGAUAAUCAAAUUCUGAUUUUUAAUAGGUUACACCACUACAAAUGUAAAUUUUCCUUGCAUUGUUGAAUAAAAUGCUACUAAGUUGAUACACAGGCUUUUUACUUCUAGAAGGAAAGGAAUAAGCAAAGCCAACAGACUUUGUCAGAGGAGAAUGAGAUGGGGAGGGAGCUAGCAGGUUCCAGGUAUAAAACCACUGGGGAAUUUGACAAUACUCUCUUAAUGUCAUUACCGAUGUAAAAUUCUUUUAGUUUGUUAUUUAAAUAUUAAAAUAAUGUGGUGUAAUUAAUUUUGGCAAUUACUUUCACUUUAAAAAUUAAUUCCAAGAUGAAAUAUAUAAAAAGCAUAGUGUAAAAAAUAUUCCACAUUUGUUUAACAGCCUUCCCCAAUCAUCAUUUAUAUAAUACUCUCCUCUGAUCUUAUUUAUAAAAAUUCUUAUAUAUCCAAGAUGUGACACACUGACCCACUGUGAUACUAUUAACAGCUAACAAUUGAGUGCUUUAAGUGUACCAGCUGUGCUAUAGGUGCUCACAUGUUAUCUCAGGAGCCUCACAAUAACCCCGUGAGAUAGAUGACAUGAUAGAAAUGAGGAAAUUGGGCUUAUGGAGGCUAAGUAAAUUGCCCAUGGUCAUGAAGUAAGUUUCCAGAAAGCUCACGUUUAAAUAUUAUAGCUUUUCAUCAGUGGGGUUCUUGAAUGUUAAUAUCCAUGUGUCACUGGUUAGUCUGUCAAAUAAUCAUAACAAAGAUUCCAUUUUCUUUAAUACUGUUUUGAUGUAAUUUAUGGUAGUGUUUAAGACGUAAAAAUUACCAUUAUUAGAAGCAAAUUGCAUUUUAUGGCAUAAAAUAUAAAUAUACAAAAGUUUCAUUAAAUCAUAAGUGUCAGAGCAAUUUUUAAAAAGAAUAAUAAAGUUGGUGAAUUUAUAGCACCUGGUUUCAAAACUCAUUGUGAAGCAGCAGUUUUAAGACAGUGUGAAUAGACAUAUAUAGAUCAACAGGAUAGUCUAGAAAUAGAUCCAGAUAUGAAUGAUCAAUUAAUGUUUGACAAAGCAUCUAAGGAUUUCAAUGAGAAAUUCCCUUAAAGAAAUAGUGCUGGAACACCUGAAUAUCUACUUGGGGAAAAAUUAAUUCAUUUAUAGACCCCAGAGCUGUGGUUGCCUGGUGACAGGGACGGAAGUUGGACUGGAGAAGGGCAGGAAAAUUUUGGGGAAGUGUUGGAAAUGUUCUGUAUCUUCAUUGCAGGUGUAUACAACUGCCCAAGUCAUUAAAUUCUAUACUUAAAUGG